rnacentral:rRNA from 1 species
CAGUCGCCACGGUAAUACGAAGGGGGCUAGCGUUGCUCGGAAUGACUGGGCGUAAAGGGCGCGUAGGCGGAUUGUUUAGUUAGGCGUGAAAUUCCUGGGCUUAACCUGGGGGCUGCGCUUAAUACAGGCAGUCUAGAGUGAGGAAGAGGGUUGUGGAAUUCCCAGUGUAGAGGUGAAAUUCGUAGAUAUUGGGAAGAACACCGGUGGCGAAGGCGGCAACCUGGUCCUUGACUGACGCUGAGGCGCGAAAGCGUGGGGAGCAAACAGGAUUAGAUACCCCGGUAGUCCCUGUCUCUUAUAC